rnacentral:rRNA from 1 species
CACGGCGCACGGGAGCAAAAAAAACGUGGGCAAUCUGCCCUCCGAUGGGGAAUAACCCCCUCCCAAAGCAGGGGCUAAUUCCGCAUAACAUUCCUUGAACUCUGGUUUGGGGAUUCAAAGCAGCAAUGCGUCGGAGGAGGAGCCCGCGCCCGAUUAGCUAGUUGGUGAGGUAAUGGCUCACCAAGGCAAUGAUCGGUAGCUGGUCUGAGAGGAUGAUCAGCCACACUGGAACUGAGACACGGUCCAGACUCCUACGGGAGGCAGCAGUGGGGAAUCUUGCACAAUGGGCGAAAGCCUGAUGCAGCGACGCCCCGUGGGGGAUGAAGCUUUUCGGAGUGUAAACCCCUUUCGACCGGGAAGAAUGCCCGCAAGGGACUGACGGUACCGGUAUAAGAAGCCCCGGCUAACUACGUGCCAGCAGCCGCGGUAAGACGUAGGGGGCCAGCGUUGUUCGGAAUUACUGGGUGUAAAGGGUUCGUAGGCGGUGCGGCAAGUUGGGAGUGAAAUCUCUGGGCUUAACCCAGAGGCUGCUUCCAA